GGCGGGUCGCUCCAGCGCAGUGAGUUUGUGCUGUGGGCCGUUCGCAGCAAGAAGUGCUAGGUACACAUGAGCGCGAAAAGGGUCUACGUGAAGGUCCAAGGCUGAUGUCUCCAGGAGGCUUAGAACUAAUAGGCUCCUAUGAGUCCCAACCUGUGCCUUGGGAUUUGAGGACUUCUUUCCUGAGCUUUACCUCUGACCCAGGGCUGUGAUUCUGCCUCAGAGAUGAACAUUGGCAUAGACGUCACCUUUCUCCAGUGUGCUUGGGCUACACAUGGCAAGAAGAAGAGCUCUGAGUCCAGAAUUCUGCUCCAAGAGGUGACCAAGGAGGGUACUGCAGAAGGAACUUGGGGGCAGAGCCAAGAGCUAAGGAGAGCACUGGCCUGAGGAGCUCCAUCCAGCUAGCAGAAGCAGGGCAUAACCAGAA